GCCGUGAGGUGUCGGCUUAAGUGCCAUAACGAGCGCAACCCCUUUUUCAGUUGCCAUCAGGUGAUGCUGGGCACUCUGGAGAUACUGCCACCGUAAGGUGUGAGGAAGGUGGGGAUGACGUCAAAUCAGCACGGCCCUUACGUCCGGGGCUACACACGUGUUACAAUGGCCGGUACAGAGAGUUGGUUGUAUGCAAAUACGAUCUAAUCCUUAAAGCCGGUCCCAGUUCGGACUGGGGUCUGCAACCCGACCCCACGAAGCUGGAUUCGCUAGUAAUCGCGCAUCAGCCAUGGCGCGGUGAAUACGUUCCCGGGCCUUGUACACACCGCCCGUCAAGCCAUGAAAGCCGGGGGUGCCUGAAGUCUGUGACCGCAAGGAACGGCCUAGGGCAAAACUGGUGAUUGGGGCUAAGUCGUAACAAGGUAACCAAUCGAAUUCCCGCGGCC
rnacentral:rRNA from 1 species